GAUGAAGAAUGCAGCGAAAUGCGAUACUUGGUGUGAAUUGCAGAAUCCCGUGAACCAUCGAGUCUUUGAACGCAAGUUGCGCCCGAAGCCAUCAGGUUGAGGGCACGUCUGCCUGGGCGUCACAUAUCGUUGCCCAAUGCCUAUUGCAGUGCAAUAGGAAUUUCUAGGGCGAAUGAUGGCUUCCCGUGAGCGUUGUUGCCUCGCGGUUGGUUGAAAAUCGAGUCCUUGGUAGGGUGUGCCAUGGUAGAUGGUGGUCGAGUUAGAACGAUACCGAUCAUGUGCAUGCUCCCCAAAAUAUGGCCUCUAUGACCCACACGCGUCUUUUGACGCUCAUGACGAGACCUCAGGUCAGGCGGGGCUACCCGCUGAAUUUAAGCAUAUCAAUAAGCGGAGGA
rnacentral:misc_RNA from 1 species